rnacentral:rRNA from 1 species
GGUGUGCUUCACACAUGCAAGUCGAACGGAGUAGCAAUACUCCAGCUGGCGGACGGGUGAGUAACACGUGGGAAUCUACCAUUAGGUGGGGAAUAACAGGCCGAAAGGACUGCUAAUGCCGCAUAUGUAGGCAUCUCGACAGAGAUGUUUAUGAAAGGAGUAAUCCGCCUUUUGAUGAGCCCGCGUCCGAUUAGCUAGUUGGUAGGGUAAAAGCCUACCAAGGCGACGAUCGGUAGCCGGCCUGAGAGGGUGACCGGCCACACUGGGACUGAGAUACGGCCCAKACUCCUACGGGAGGCAGCAGUGGGGAAUAUUGCACAAUGGGCGCAAGCCUGAUGCAGCGACGCCGCGUGAGGGAUGACGGCCUUCGGGUUGUAAACCUCUUUCAGCACAGACGAAGCGCAAGUGACGGUAUGUGCAGAAGAAGGACCGGCCAACUACGUGCCAGCAGCCGCGGUAAUACGUAGGGUCCGAGCGUUGUCCGGAAUUACUGGGCGUAAAGAGCUCGUAGGUGGUUUGUCGCGUUGUUCGUGAAAACUCACAGCUUAACUGUGGGCGUGCGGGCGAUACGGGCAGACUUGAGUACUGCAGGGGAGACUGGAAUUCCUGG